UCUAACAGUCUUACUGGGAUUGUUCCGUCCCAAAUAGGAGCUCUUCAAAAUCUUACUUCUCUGGACUUGUCUUCUAACAGUCUUACUGGGAUUAUUCCAU